CAGUGUCUUCACCAGAAUCACAGCACUGUAGGGGUUGGAAGGGAUCCCAAGAGACCAUCGGGUCCAACCCCCCUGCCGAAGCAGUUCCCUAGAGCAGGCUGCCCAGGCGGGCGUCCAGACGGGCCCUGAAUAUCUGCAGAGAAGGA